rnacentral:rRNA from 1 species
GGGUCAGUAGGUUGGUCGUGCCACCGGUACGUACUGGUCUCACCGAUUCCUCCUUCCUGAAGAACCGUAAUGCCAUUAAUUUGGUGCUGCGGGGAAACAGGACUGUUACUUUGAAAAAAUUAGAGUGUUUAAAGCAAGCUAACGCUUGAAUACAUUAGCAUGGAAUAAUGAAAUAGGACGAUCGAUCCUAUUUUGUUGGUUUCUAGGAUUGACGUA